GAUGAACGCUGGCGGCGUGCCUAAUACAUGCAAGUCGAGCGAACAGACGAGGAGCUUGCUCCUCUGACGUUAGCGGCGGACGGGUGAGUAACACGUGGAUAACCUACCUAUAAGACUGGGAUAACUUCGGGAAACCGGAGCUAAUACCGGAUAAUAUAUUGAACCGCAUGGUUCAAUAGUGAAAGACGGUUUUGCUGUCACUUAUAGCUGGAUCCGCGCCGCAUUAGCUAGUUGGUAAGGUAACGGCUUACCAAGGCAACGAUGCGUAGCCGACCCGAGAGGGUGAUCGGCCACACUGGAACUGAGACACGGUCCAGACUCCUACGGGAGGCAGCAGUAGGGAAUCUUCGGCAAUGGGCGAAAGCCUGACGGAGCAACGCCGCGUGAGUGAUGAAGGUCUUCGGAUCGUAAAACUCUGUUAUUAGGGAAGAACAAAUGUGUAAGUAAAUAUGGACGUCUUGACGGUACCUAAUAAGAAAGCCACGGCUAACUACGUG
rnacentral:rRNA from 1 species